UAUGUUCAAAAAUUCACCGAGGAACAAGUUAAAACAGAGAAGUUUGUUGUCACAGUUCACGCUGUCAAACAGAGAAGAAGUCGGCUGCGAUCCCUCAAAUGGGCGACUGAGUUUUACAAGUUUUUGAAGAACAACUAUCUAACCAGAAUGACUCGUUGUGUGGUCUAUAAACCCUCUUUUAAGCUGAGAGCAUUGGUGAUCCUUUCACACCCGUUCUUUUCAAACUGCAUGAAGGAAAAGAUUUUCAUCGUGAAAAGUCACAGAGACUUCGCCAAAGCCCAAGGUCUACCAGAGGGCGAUCCAGUCUCAUAGUCCAAACAACGUCAAAAUAACUGAUGUUCCUAAACUUCGAUGUUAUCUCAAUUGAACUGAAAUUUAUCUGCUUAACGACGGUAUCAAAACAGACCCACUGUAC